rnacentral:rRNA from 1 species
AGAGGGUNNGGCCCUCGGCAGACUGCUCUCNAACACGUGGAUAACCUACCCUAAGGUGGGGGAUAAUCUCGGAAAACUGAGAAUAAUACCCCAUAGACCUAGAUGAUUGGAAUGUCUUUAGGUUAAAAACUACGGUGCCCUAGGAUGGGUCUGCGGCCUAUCAGGUUGUAGUUAGUGUAAAGGACUAACUAGCCGACGACGGGUACGGGCCAUGGGAGUGGUAGCCCGGAGAUGGACUCUGAGACACGAGUCCAGGCCCUACGGGGCGCAGCAGGCGCGAAAACUUUGCAAUGCGCGAAAGCGCGACAAGGGGAUUCCAAGUGCAUGCACUAAGUGUAUGCUUUUCGUGAGUGUAAAAAGCUCAUGGAAUAAGGGCUGGGUAAGACUGGUGCCAGCCGCCGCGGUAAUACCAGCGGCCCUAGUGGUGAUCGUUAUUAUUGGGCCUAAAGCGUCCGUAGCCGGUUCGGUAAAUCUCUGGGUAAAUCGUUGGGCUUAACUCAACGAAUUCUGGGGAGACUGCCGANCUUGGGACCGGAAAGGUCGGAGGUACUCCAGGGGUAGGGGUGAAAUCCUGUAUCCUG